rnacentral:lncRNA from 1 species
CCCUUUAUGUUAAUGUGAUAUUCAGCAGGGUAGCUCUUUAAUUUAUAUUUUUCUUUCUCUUAGGCAGCAAUGAUGCUCCUUAUAUUGAUGUGAUAUUCUACCAUGUUUUAUCCUAUACAUUACAAUGCCAUUCUGUAUUUAGUAUGCUCAGGAUCAUUUGAUCUGUCUUGCACUUGUGUUUUCUUUGUUGGUUCAGUCUUAAUGGUACUUAUCCUUAUAGUUACUUGGGAUUUUUGUCUAUCAUACCUUUUGACCUUUCAUUAUGUUAGUAUCUUUGACUUAUUCGGCAGUUACAUUGCAAGUUCGAGGAAUAUCAUUGGCACAGCAGAGAGGUUGCAAACAAGAAGGUGAGUUUAUCACCCAGUGGCAUUAAAUUGUAUCAUUAUUCUUCCAGAUGAAGAGGUACCAUUCCCUACUGUUACAAAAUCAAAUAAUUUAGUGUUAUGCCGAUAAGCUUGGCAAAGUUGUGUGCUCAUGUCAUAUCAUCAAUCUGUCCUCAUUUGUUAUGCAUGUAAUCUACUGAUUGUAGUAGCCUUAUGUAGAAAAAUAGUUAUUUUAUGUGUUCUCCCAUCGCAGAGCCAUCUUGGGUGAAACCGCUAUUACCAAAUUUGAGGGACUGCAACCAUUUAUUGCUGCCUUAAUUUGUUAAAUUAGUUUGAAAACAGCCAUAUGUUUCCAUAAAUUCUGAAUUCUUUACUACACUAAGAUUGAGCGGAAUACAUUGUGUGAUUAGCAUUUGUUCUGUUUUUCGUUGAAAUACAUGUAAUAUUACCACCUAAACUCUACUUAUCUCUAAUUUGAUUAUGUAAUGAGCACUGUCUUUAUACAUAUCUUCGCAGACAGAAAAUAGCCUUUGCAAAGGACAAGAGGGCGACAACAAAAUUAAGAUUGCUUUCGUGUGUUUGUUGAGUUGGCCUUGAGCUGCUGGGUGAAGGUAUGUUUUUUUUGCUUAAUUGCCAAGUGCAUGAAUUGAUCGCCGUGUGUUCUUUUAGUUUCGUGCUUGGAAAUUAAUCAAUUGGUACAAGUUUCAAACCAACUGCUAAAAAUAUAUUGUUUUAGUUGUAUGUCAACCAGCCAUCACACAUUAAAGACGGUUAUGAUUUUGAGUACCCGUUUGAAAAUUGAUUUGUUUUGAAAUGUUGGAAUGGAAACAAGGAACACAACACUCAGAAAGUGGUCUGAUGUUAAAUUUAGUUGUCCAUUGCCUCCGGCGAAUGUCAUCUCCCAGCUCGUGACCUUGCCCCUAGUAUUUUUCUUACUAUACUAAGCUACAAAAGCUAUUUUGUUGAUUUUUUUAACUCAUGACAGUACUUCAAAGAGAAGUAAUUAUAAUAAAUUGUUCCUUCAUGUUUUUUUCCCAGAAAGUAGCCUCCAUGCUUCUUAAAUCUGGGUACUGUUUUGUACAGAAGCUUUCAUCUAUAGAGAAGCACAUCUGUUUCAGGUACAUACUAUUAAAACUUAUGAGCAAGUUUGCUGCAAUGAUGUUCCACAUAUAUGGUUUGCAGCUCUAUCAAUUAAAUUUGGUGCCAACUUUUUGUACAAUUCUGCGACUUAUAGUUUCACCCAACUAUUAUGUGAUGAAUUUAGAGGGAUGGAGGUAAGGUUUGGCCAAGUUAAUUUGAGAAACUAAGAUGCCGAAUAGGUUCUUACUAUAUCACAUAUCAAUGGUCCUAGUUCUUGCAAUCGUACUUUUUGCAAUUGACAUUUGACAUAAAAUGUACAACCUCAAUGAGUCCUUUUUUAACAGAUUGAUGAGUCUAUUUCGUGCAGGCUAAUCUGAAAAAGAAGCCAAUUCAAGCUGUAGUUGACUAACAAAUGGGUCAUGUUUUUCAUAUGUAGUUGACGAACUUAUGUGUUAUUAGAUGUGCUCUUAAUACUUUGUUGUAUGCAAAUUAGACGGAUUGUGUUGGAUGACCGGCUCCUGCGUUCGUUUUCACAG